rnacentral:rRNA from 1 species
CCCUUAGAUGUUCUGGGCCGCACGCGCGCUACACUGAUGCAUUCAACGAGUCUAAAACCUGCUCUGAUAGGGGUGGGUAAUCUUUUGAAUGUGCAUCGUGAUUGGGAUAGAUGAUUGCAAUUUUUCAUCUUCAACGAGGAAUGCCUAGUAAACGCAAGUCAUCAGCUUGCAUUGAUUACGUCCCUGCCCUUUGUACACACCGCCCGUCGCUCCUACCGAUUGAAUGAUCCGAUGAAUAUCAUGGAUUGAGGAUGUAAGCAGGUUCGCCUGUCUUCAUCUUCGAGAAGUGAAGUAAAUCUUAUCAUUUAGAGGAAGGAGAAGUCGUAACAA